CGACAUCGUACCACUUUUCAAUUUGCGGUGUCAGGGUGCGUUUUGUACGGUUCACGCACUGCGGCGACGUCGGCAAUUGCGCCGACGAGUACGCGACCGCUCGCAGAGACAAAGUCCGAAACCGCGUCAGCCGGGGCGGCGCGCGCAAGCCACGUUCAGCGCAACUUUUCCGUGGAAAUACCGAAAGCGGCUCGCACGUUUGCCUUGAAUCGGUGAGCUGGGGCACCGUGGUGCACGCGAGAGGUGGAAACACGGCUUGAAAAGCAAAAAUGAGGAAUUUCUUUCGGCGCUAACUGCCGCCGGCGGCCACGAGUACGGCCCCAUGGAGGUCUGGGUACUUAUCGCUGCUAUUAUAUAGAGCUAUGCGGCCCCGGCCGACAUCGUACCACUUUUCAAUUUGCGGUGUCCGGGUGCGUUUUGUGCGAUUCACGCACUGCGGCGACGUCGGCAAUUGCGCCGACGAGUACGCGACCGCUCGCAGAGGACAAAGUCCGAAACCGCGUCAGCCGGGGCGGCGCGCGCAAGCCACGUUCAGCGCAACUUUUCCGUGGAAAUACCGAAAGCGGCUCGCACGUUUGCCUUGAAUCGGUGAGCUGGGGCACCGUGGUGCACGCGAGAGGUGGAAAGACGGCUUGAAAAGCAAAAAUGAGGAAUUUCUUUCGGCGCUAACUGCCGCCGGCGGCCACGAGUACGGCCCCAUGGAGGUCUGGGUACUUAUCGCUGCUAUUAUAUAGAGCUAUGCGGCCCCGGCCGACAUCGUACCACUUUUCAAUUUGCGGUGUCCGGGUGCGUUUUGUGCGAUUCACGCACUGCGGCGACGUCGGCAAUUGCGCCGACGAGUACGCGACCGCUCGCAGAGACAAAGUCCGAAACCGCGUCAGCCGGGGCGGCGCGCGCAAGCCACGUUCAGCGCAACUUUUCCGUGGAAAUACCGAAAGCGGCUCGCACGUUUGCCUUGAAUCGGUGAGCUGGGGCACCGUGGUGCACGCGAGAGGUGGAAACACGGCUUGAAAAGCAAAAAUGAGGAAUUUCUUUCGGCGCUAACUGCCGCCGGCGGCCACGAGUACGGCCCCAUGGAGGUCUGGGUACUUAUCGCUGCUAUUAUAUAGAGCUAUGCGGCCCCGGCCGACAUCGUACCACUUUUCAAUUUGCGGUGUCCGGGUGCGUUUUGUGCGAUUCACGCACUGCGGCGACGUCGGCAAUUGCGCCGACGAGUACGCGACCGCUCGCAGAGACAAAGUCCGAAACCGCGUCAGCCGGGGCGGCGCGCGCAAGCCACGUUCAGCGCAACUUUUCCGUGGAAAUACCGAAAGCGGCUCGCACGUUUGCCUUGAAUCGGUGAGCUGGGGCACCGUGGUGCACGCGAGAGGUGGAAACACGGCUUGAAAAGCAAAAAUGAGGAAUUUCUUUCGGCGCUAACUGCCGCCGGCGGCCACGAGUACGGCCCCAUGGAGGUCUGGGUACUUAUCGCUGCUAUUAUAUAGAGCUAUGCGGCCCCGGCCGACAUCGUACCACUUUUCAAUUUGCGGUGUCCGGGUGCGUUUUGUGCGAUUCACGCACUGCGGCGACGUCGGCAAUUGCGCCGACGAGUACGCGACCGCUCGCAGAGGCAAAGUCCGAAACCGCGUCAGCCGGGGCGGCGCGCGCAAGCCACGUUCAGCGCAACUUUUCCGUGGAAAUACCGAAAGCGGCUCGCACGUUUGCCUUGAAUCGGUGAGCUGGGGCACCGUGGUGCACGCGAGAGGUGGAAACACGGCUUGAAAAGCAAAAAUGAGGAAUUUCUUUCGGCGCUAACUGCCGCCGGCGGCCACGAGUACGGCCCCAUGGAGGUCUGGGUACUUAUCGCUGCUAUUAUAUAGAGCUAUGCGGCCCCGGCCGACAUCGUACCACUUUUCAAUUUGCGGUGUCCGGGUGCGUUUUGUGCGAUUCACGCACUGCGGCGACGUCGGCAAUUGCGCCGACGAGUACGCGACCGCUCGCAGAGACAAAGUCCGAAACCGCGUCAGCCGGGGCGGCGCGCGCAAGCCACGUUCAGCGCAACUUUUCCGUGGAAAUACCGAAAGCGGCUCGCACGUUUGCCUUGAAUCGGUGAGCUGGGGCACCGUGGUGCACGCGAGAGGUGGAAACACGGCUUGAAAAGCAAAAAUGAGGAAUUUCUUUCGGCGCUAACUGCCGCCGGCGGCCACGAGUACGGCCCCAUGGAGGUCUGGGUACUUAUCGCUGCUAUUAUAUAGAGCUAUGCGGCCCCGGCCGACAUCGUACCACUUUUCAAUUUGCGGUGUCCGGGUGCGUUUUGUGCGAUUCACGCACUGCGGCGACGUCGGCAAUUGCGCCGACGAGUACGCGACCGCUCGCAGAGACAAAGUCCGAAACCGCGUCAGCCGGGGCGGCGCGCGCAAGCCACGUUCAGCGCAACUUUUCCGUGGAAAUACCGAAAGCGGCUCGCACGUUUGCCUUGAAUCGGUGAGCUGGGGCACCGUGGUGCACGCGAGAGGUGGAAACACGGCUUGAAAAGCAAAAAUGAGGAAUUUCUUUCGGCGCUAACUGCCGCCGGCGGCCACGAGUACGGCCCCAUGGAGGUCUGGGUACUUAUCGCUGCUAUUAUAUAGAGCUAUGCGGCCCCGGCCGACAUCGUACCACUUUUCAAUUUGCGGUGUCCGGGUGCGUUUUGUGCGAUUCACGCACUGCGGCGACGUCGGCAAUUGCGCCGACGAGUACGCGACCGCUCGCAGAGGCAAAGUCCGAAACCGCGUCAGCCGGGGCGGCGCGCGCAAGCCACGUUCAGCGCAACUUUUCCGUGGAAAUACCGAAAGCGGCUCGCACGUUUGCCUUGAAUCGGUGAGCUGGGGCACCGUGGUGCACGCGAGAGGUGGAAACACGGCUUGAAAAGCAAAAAUGAGGAAUUUCUUUCGGCGCUAACUGCCGCCGGCGGCCACGAGUACGGCCCCAUGGAGGUCUGGGUACUUAUCGCUGCUAUUAUAUAGAGCUAUGCGGCCCCGGCCGACAUCGUACCACUUUUCAAUUUGCGGUGUCCGGGUGCGUUUUGUGCGAUUCACGCACUGCGGCGACGUCGGCAAUUGCGCCGACGAGUACGCGACCGCUCGCAGAGACAAAGUCCGAAACCGCGUCAGCCGGGGCGGCGCGCGCAAGCCACGUUCAGCGCAACUUUUCCGUGGAAAUACCGAAAGCGGCUCGCACGUUUGCCUUGAAUCGGUGAGCUGGGGCACCGUGGUGCACGCGAGAGGUGGAAACACGGCUUGAAAAGCAAAAAUGAGGAAUUUCUUUCGGCGCUAACUGCCGCCGGCGGCCACGAGUACGGCCCCAUGGAGGUCUGGGUACUUAUCGCUGCUAUUAUAUAGAGCUAUGCGGCCCCGGCCGACAUCGUACCACUUUUCAAUUUGCGGUGUCCGGGUGCGUUUUGUGCGAUUCACGCACUGCGGCGACGUCGGCAAUUGCGCCGACGAGUACGCGACCGCUCGCAGAGGACAAAGUCCGAAACCGCGUCAGCCGGGGCGGCGCGCGCAAGCCACGUUCAGCGCAACUUUUCCGUGGAAAUACCGAAAGCGGCUCGCACGUUUGCCUUGAAUCGGUGAGCUGGGGCACCGUGGUGCACGCGAGAGGUGGAAACACGGCUUGAAAAGCAAAAAUGAGGAAUUUCUUUCGGCGCUAACUGCCGCCGGCGGCCACGAGUACGGCCCCAUGGAGGUCUGGGUACUUAUCGCUGCUAUUAUAUAGAGCUAUGCGGCCCCGGCCGACAUCGUACCACUUUUCAAUUUGCGGUGUCCGGGUGCGUUUUGUGCGAUUCACGCACUGCGGCGACGUCGGCAAUUGCGCCGACGAGUACGCGACCGCUCGCAGAGACAAAGUCCGAAACCGCGUCAGCCGGGGCGGCGCGCGCAAGCCACGUUCAGCGCAACUUUUCCGUGGAAAUACCGAAAGCGGCUCGCACGUUUGCCUUGAAUCGGUGAGCUGGGGCACCGUGGUGCACGCGAGAGGUGGAAACACGGCUUGAAAAGCAAAAAUGAGGAA